GAUACAUUACUUAUUACAGUAAAAAUUGGCAUUUUCACCUUCAAAAGCAGAAGCACCAGUCUUAGAAUUUAUAGUAUGAAUGGUAUUUUAAGUGAAAUAUAGCAUAAUAUUAUGUGCAAACAUUAUUUUAGUAUAGAACAUACUUUCUAAAAGUAAAGUAAUUUCACACACUGAAAUCUGUUAGAAUGGAAAUAAGGUCAUGCUGAAUAAUGAAAUAAAAACCCCCAUGACUUUCAAAGUCCACUUCGAAUGAAAUAUGGUAUGCUGCCAAAUAGAAGAUACAUGAUAAAUUAAAAAGCUUAACUAGCUCAAAGUGGAGGGACGUCUCACACAAAUAUGACUCGUAUAGAGGUUUCUUUUCACUUAGUCUCAGUGAUUCUGUGAGAAAUUAAAAUGAAUGUUUUAUUUCAGAAUUAAUU
rnacentral:lncRNA from 1 species